UACGUAGGGAGCAAGCGUUGUCCGGAAUCAUUGGGCGUAAAGCGCGCGUAGGUGGCCACAUAAGUCCGUUGUGAAAGUCAAAGGCUCAACCUUUGAAAGCCGAUGGAUACUGUGUGGCUAGAGUACGGAAGAGGCGAGUGGAAUUCCUGGUGUAGCGGUGGAAUGCGUAGAUAUCUGGAGGAACAUCGGUGGCGAAGGCGGCAUCCUGGACCGGUAUUGACGCUGAGGCGCGAAAGCGUGGGGAGCGAACAGG
rnacentral:rRNA from 1 species